rnacentral:rRNA from 1 species
UACGUAGGGUGCAGGCGUUAAUCGGAAUUACUGGGCGUAAAGCGUGCGCAGGCGGUUUGCUAAGAGAGAUGUGAAAUCCCCGGGCUUAACCUGGGAACUGCGUUUCUAACUGGCAGGCUUGAGUGUGGCAGAGGGGGGUGGAAUUCCACGUGUAGCAGUGAAAUGCGUAGAGAUGUGGAGGAACACCGGUGGCGAAGGCAGCCCCCUGGGCUAACACUGACGCUCAUGCACGAAAGCGUGGGGAGCAAACAGG